rnacentral:rRNA from 1 species
UGGGGAAUAACUGUUGGAAACGACAGCUAAUACCGCAUAAUAUUGCUGGAUAAUUUCCAGUAAUGAAAGGAGCUUUCAAGCUCCGCUGAUUGAUGAGGAUGCGGCGCAUUAGCUAGUUGGUAGGGUAAUGGCCUACCAAGGCAAUGAUGCGUAGCCGAUCUGAGAGGAUGAACGGCCACAUUGGGACUGAGACACGGCCCAAACUUCUACGGAAGGCAGCAGUAGGGAAUUUUUCACAAUGGGCGAAAGCCUGAUGGAGCAAUGCCGCGUGACUGAUGAAGGUCUUCGGAUUGUAAAGGUCUGUUGUAAGGGAAGAAAUGGUAAAACAGGAAAUGGUUUUAUCUAUGACGGUACCUUACCAGAAAGCCACGGCUAACUAUGUGCCAGCAGCCGCGGUAAUACAUAGGUGGCAAGCGUUAUCCAGAUUUAUUGGGCGUAAAGGGUGCGUAGACGGUUUUGCAAGUCUGAGGUUAAAUUUAGGAGCUCAAUUCCUAAUCGCCUUGGAAACUACAAGACUAGAGUAUAGGANAGGUUAGUGGAAUUCCAUGUGUAGCGGUGGAAUGUGUAGAUAUAUGGAGGAACACCAGUGGCGAAGG